ensembl:snRNA U6 U6 spliceosomal RNA
GUGCUUCAUUCAGCAGCUCAUAUACUAAUAUUGAAAUAAUUCAGUGAAAGAUAGCAUGGUCCAUAGGUAAGGAUAACAAAAAAUUUUGUGAAAUAUUCCAUAUAUUU